CCAGACUCCUACGGGAGGCAGCAGUGGGGAAUAUUGGGCAAUGGGCGCAAGCCUGACCCAGCAACGCCGCGUGAAGGAAGAAGGCUUUCGGGUUGCAAACUUCUUUUAUGAGGGACGAAACAAAUGACGGUACCUCAUGAAUAAGCCACGGCUAACUACGUGCCAGCAGCCGCGGUAAUACGUAGGUGGCAAGCGUUAUCCGGAUUUACUGGGUGUAAAGGGCGUGUAGGCGGGACUGCAAGUCAGAUGUGAAAACCACGGGCUCAACCUGUGGCCUGCAUUUGAAACUGUAGUUCUUGAGUACUGGAGAGGCAGACGGAAUUCCUAGUGUAGCGGUGAAAUGCGUAGAUAUUAGGAGGAACACCAGUGGCGAAGGCGGUCUGCUGGACAGCAACUGACGCUGAGGCGCGAAAGCGUGGGGAGCAAACAGGAUUAGAUACCCUGGUAGAC
rnacentral:rRNA from 1 species